rnacentral:rRNA from 1 species
GAUGAACGCUGGCGGCGUGCCUAAUACAUGCAAGUCGAGCGAACAGACGAGGAGCUUGCUCCUCUGACGUUAGCGGCGGACGGGUGAGUAACACGUGGAUAACCUACCUAUAAGACUGGGAUAACUUCGGGAAACCGGAGCUAAUACCGGAUAAUAUAUUGAACCGCAUGGUUCAAUAGUGAAAGACGGUUUUGCUGUCACUUAUAGAUGGAUCCGCGCCGCAUUAGCUAGUUGGUAAGGUAACGGCUUACCAAGGCAACGAUGCGUAGCCGACCUGAGAGGGUGAUCGGCCACACUGGAACUGAGACACGGUCCAGACUCCUACGGGAGGCAGCAGUAGGGAAUCUUCCGCAAUGGGCGAAAGCCUGACGGAGCAACGCCGCGUGAGUGAUGAAGGUCUUCGGAUCGUAAAGCUCUUUUAUUAGGGAAGAACAAAUGUGUAAUUAACUAUGCACGUCUUGACGGUACCUAAUCAGAAAGCCACGGCUAACUACGUG